AACGAACGCUGGCGGCAUGCCUAACACAUGCAAGUCGAACGAGAUCUUCGGGUCUAGUGGCGCACGGGUGCGUAACGCGUGGGAAUCUGCCCUUUGGUUCGGAAUAACAGAUGGAAACGACUGCUAAUACCGGAUGAUGACGAAAGUCCAAAGAUUUAUCGCCAGAGGAUGAGCCCGCGUAGGAUUAGCUAGUUGGUGUGGUAAAGGCGCACCAAGGCGACGAUCCUUAGCUGGUCUGAGAGGAUGAUCAGCCACACUGGGACUGAGACACGGCCCAGACUCCUACGGGAGGCAGCAGUGGGGAAUAUUGGACAAUGGGCGAAAGCCUGAUCCAGCAAUGCCGCGUGAGUGAUGAAGGCCUUAGGGUUGUAAGGCUCUUUUACCCGGGAUGAUAAUGACAGUACCAGGAGAAUAAGCUCCGGCUAACUCCGUGCCAGCAGCCGCCGUAA
rnacentral:rRNA from 1 species